GUGCUCCCUUUGAUGGCACAUACACUAAAAUUGGAACGAUACAGAAUAAAUUAUCGUGACCUCUGUACAAGGAUGAAACGCAAAGUGAUGAAGUAUUUCAUAUUUUG